rnacentral:rRNA from 1 species
GGCGGCAGGCCUCAAACAUGCAAGUCUAGGGGGUGUAGCAAUACAUCACCGGCGGACGGGUGCGUAACACGUGGGAAUAUACCUUUUGGUUCGGAACAACUGAGGGAAACUUCAGCUAAUACCGAAUGUGCCCUAACGGGGAAAGAUUUAUCGCCAAAGGAUUAGCCCGCGUAGGAUUAGCUAGUUGGUGAGGUAAUGGCUCACCAAGGCUCCGAUCCUUAGCUGUUCUGAGAGGAAGAUCAGCCACACUGGGACUGAGACACGGCCCAGACUCCUACGGGAGGCAGCAGUUGGGAAUCUUGGACAAUGGGGGAAACCCUGAUCCAGCCAUGCCGCGUGAGUGAUGAAGGCCUUCGGGUUGUAAAACUCUUUCGACGGGGACGAUAAUGACGGUACCCGUAGAAGAAGCUCCGGCUAACUUCGUGCCAGCAGCCGCGGUAAUACGAAGGGGGCUAGCGUUGUUCGGAAUUACUGGGCGUAAAGCGCGCGCAGGCGGUUUUCCAAGUCAGUGGUGAAAGCCCGGA